UAUUUUGUAGAUAUUCCAUAUUUUUUCGACGUUUCUCCCCGCCCCAAAUUAUUCAGAAAACUAUAGGACAGUUAAAAAAAUAAUCUCCUCAAUGAACUAAUUAGAUAAACUUAUCUGGCUACCAGAAAUAAUCAAUCGCUCCCGUAAAUCGAUAGUCAUCAGAUUUAUAUACGACGGCGUAUUUACAAACCUUAUCUGAGUUCGGCCCAAUUGUUAUGCAUAAAUAUGUAACCCGUCGUAGUUCUUCACCGUGUAUGGGUUUUUGA